AAUAAGUACGGUUUUACACUAUUUAAUCCAACGUUUGACCGUUCAUCUUAUUUCAAAUUUUUUAUGAUUAGUAUUUUUAUUGUUAUUAGAUAAUAAAACAUCAAUAGUACUUUGUGUUACUAUUUUUUAAAAAAAAUUCAUAAAAUUUUCAAAUAAGACGGACGGAUAAACAUUAGACACAGAUACCCACGGCUACACUUAUU
rfam:Oryza sativa (indica cultivar-group) chromosome 3, whole genome shotgun sequence.